AAGAUGAGCACUCCCACCUGUUCUUGGGCCCUUCUCCUCUCCAUUCAUAACUGAUCAGAGGAACAACAUCCACAAUGGCUAGAUCCAGCACCAAAAAGCAUAAGUACUCCAAAAGACAUCAAAGCCCAACCUCCAGAAAGAAAGCACAUUCCAGCAUUGAUUUUGUCCAUGGAAAUUACUCAUUCUUCGUAAACAAGGUCCUAAAGGAAGUGGUGUCCCAUAGAGGCACAUCGUCUCGCACCUUGGACCUCAUGAACACUCUGAUUAACAACUUCUUUCAACACAUUUCCAUGAAAGCUUACAGGUUGAUGUAUUUCAGAAAUUGCUGUACUCUCACCCCUGAAGAUAUCCUGAAGGCAGCGUAUUUGCUGUUGCCUCAGAAAACAGCUAACUACGCAGUGGCUUUUGGAAGUGAAGUGUUCCGCAGAUAUGUCCACUCCUAAACUGCAUAUGCCAGCUUCAUGGAUCAAACUUAUCAUCCAAAUGAUCACCUCAACAUUGAAUUCAUUCUUUUUUAUUUAUUUAUUUUUUCUUCCAACUUAUACUUUAGGAUCAGGGUGUACAAGUGCAGGUGAGGAAAAUGGGGCACAGAGAACUAAGCAAUUUAUCCGAGGUCACACAGCUGUGUAAGGAGCAGAGCUGGGAUUUGAUCAGGUUGAAAGAGUCUCUGUGGACCUUCUGCUACAUGCUAGAAUCCACCCACACCUGGUUGCAAGGAAGGCUAAGUCCAUUAUUUGGGUGUAUUGCCUCCAUAUAAAUGCAAGAUUCUGUUCCUAUGGAGGAAGGGAAUGGAUAUUUGAAGGUACAACAACCAGGCUCUGCCACAAAUGGGUAAACGAUAAAUAUAACAAUAAUGAGAAUAUAAUAAUUUACUUGAGCUACCUCAUCAAAGACAUCCACAUCAGGAUAUUCCAAUACCAGAUCCAGGGGUCUCACCACGUUGUCCAGGCUGGUCUUGAAAUCCUGGCCUCACACAGAGAGAAAGGAAUUUUUAGCACAAGACACAGUGGAGCUCAGGAUUGGCUAAACUCCCAUAGUAUUCAUGGCGGCCGCCUGCGGGGGCCCCAGCACGGCUUGCAGGCCACCUCUAGCUUUCUUCGUACCCCAGUCCCGGCCUCCCUCCUCCUCCCCUGCAGCCUGGAUAGGUGGAUACCUGCCCUGACACGUGAGGCAAGCUAAGGCCUGGAGGGUCAGAUGGGAAACCAGGUCCCAAGGCAGCAAGACCUCGACAAGCCCAGCACCCUCGGCCCUUCCCCCCCCCCAAUUUUGAACACGUGUAACUGACAGUCUGCCCGGGCUCCCUGGGGCACACGCCACAGCUCUCUCACUCUGAUACUGCAUGCACGCAAUGCUAGCUGCCCCCUUCCUGUCCUGGGCACCCAAGUCCCCCCCGACCCCAGGUCCCAGAUAUGCUCCCACCUCCACCUCCUGCCCCAUUCACCGCCUCUGCUAGUUCCAGAGGCCUCCACGCCCACCCAGUCCUCUCCCAUCGCCCACAAAAGCGGGGGCACAAGGGACGAGCUUAGCUGAGCUGGGAAGAGCAGGGUGACAGUGGGCGACCCAGGAUUCCCCCCACCUUCCCAAAUAAAGAUGAGGGUACUAAAGUUGUCUUGGUUUUUAUUUUAUUUUAUUUUAUUCUUUUUCCAGUGUACUAGCUUGUCUUUUAAGAAAGGGGAUCUUAAAAAAAAAAAAAAAAAGACAAAAAUGAUUCUAAAAAAAGCAACACCCACACCUGUGUCUGUAUACAGUCAGCUUAUCUUGUGUUCAGUCGUUUGAUCUCUACAGAGAGAAGUGGAAAAUGCUGUAUCAAGGGUGGGCUUAGCUGUGCCUUUCAAAUACAGAUGUGAGAAGAUUCAAAAAAAAAAAAA